GACGAACGCUGGCGGCGUGCCUAAUACAUGCAAGUAGAACGCACAGUUUAUACCGUAGCUUGCUCCACCAUAAACUGUGAGUUGCGAACGGGUGAGUAACGCGUAGGUAACCUGCCUGGUAGCGGGGGAUAACUAUUGGAAACGAUAGCUAAUACCGCAUAAUAUUGAUUAUUGCAUGAUAAUUGAUUGAAAGAUGCUAUUGCAUCACUACCAGAUGGACCUGCGUUGUAUUAGCUAGUAGGUGAGGUAACGGCUCACCUAGGCGACGAUACAUAGCCGACCUGAGAGGGUGAUCGGCCACACUGGGACUGAGACACGGCCCAGACUCCUACGGGAGGCAGCAGUAGGGAAUCUUCGGCAAUGGACGAAAGUCUGACCGAGCAACGCCGCGUGAGUGAAGAAGGGUUUCGGAUCGUAAAGCUCUGUUGUAAGAGAAGAACGGGUGUGAGAGUGGAAAGUUCACACUGUGACGGUAUCUGACCAGAAAGGGACGGCUAACUACGUG
rnacentral:rRNA from 1 species